rnacentral:rRNA from 1 species
GCUAGGUUCUUCUGGCAGGCAGGGGAUGGUCGGCCCAAGUACCAUAUGGUGAAGUGGGCUGACAUUUGCUUGCCGAAGGACAGAGGUGGGUUGGGCAUCCCUGUAUCUUGCCGGAUGAACGUUGUGCUUAUGCUGCGUUGGGUUUGGCGGAUAUUGCGGGGAGAUGGGGGGCUGUGGCUGCAGCUGGUUGAGUCCAAGUACUUGCAGGGCUAA